UGUCGAGUUUUGUUCAUGCGGUCGACCUUUACUGCGUUACCUCGCAUUGUGUGUUGUGUGUUGCGGUUACUGACGUAAGCGCAAGUUCUUCACUGAGUAUGAUGCGCGGCAGCGUGCAAAUAGUCACCAGAUGCCGGCCGUGCGACUCCGUUCUCUGCGACUCCUUUGUUCGGUGUGAUCGAGGGACGUGAUUCAUGCUUUGGAGACCCUCUUUAGACCGUGCCCUCAUCAAAUGUUUCCACACAUCAGUGAGUAGCAGCACCGCAAUCCUUACUCGACGACACGCUCUGUGGGCCUGGAAAAUGCCUUGACGUUCGAGCACUUCGGGAGCUAUACCGGCGGACAGCCGGACGCGGGUAGCUUGGCCGUUCCUUGCUCUGCACAUCGCUUGAAAACCGGCGGUCAUCCUGCAGCGUACGCUGCCAGCGUGCUUUCUUGCCAGAGCCGCCUCCCCUGCUGGUGAUGACCAUAUGCAGCCAAUGCUGAUGUGAACCUGAGUGAUGAACAAAUGCAGAUCUGCAAAGGAGCUGUCCUGAAGCACCAUGCUUACUCAAGUCAUGCAGCGAGAGUCAGACGAUCUGAGUUCGUACACGGUUUGUACUGCUCCUACCGAAGAACUGGGCUCGUCCACGCUGAAAGAAGCGUUUGCGUGCGCUGCAAUUAAGAUACUCUGAUUCAGUU
rnacentral:lncRNA from 1 species